GACGAACGCUGGCGGCGUGCUUAACACAUGCAAGUCGAACGGAAAGGCCCUGCUUUUGUGGGGUGCUCGAGUGGCGAACGGGUGAGUAACACGUGAGUAGCCUGCCCUUGACUUUGGGAUAACUUCAGGAAACUGGGGCUAAUACCGGAUAGGAGCUCCUGCUGCAUGGUGGGGGUUGGAAAGUUUCGGCGGUUGGGGAUGGACUCGCGGCUUAUCAGCUUGUUGGUGGGGUAGUGGCUUACCAAGGCUUUGACGGGUAGCCGGCCUGAGAGGGUGACCGGCCACAUUGGGACUGAGAUACGGCCCAGACUCCUACGGGAGGCAGCAGUGGGGAAUAUUGCAUAAUGGGCGGAAGCCUGAUGCAGCAACGCCGCGUGCGGGAUGACGGCCUUCGGGUUGUAAACCGCUUUCGCCUGUGACGAAGCGUGAGUGACGGUAAUGGGGAAAGAAGCACCGGCUAACUACGU
rnacentral:rRNA from 1 species